rnacentral:rRNA from 1 species
UAGCUAGUUGGUGAGGUAACGGCUUACCAAGGCGACGAUCUGUAGCGGGUCUGAUAGGAUGAUCCGCCACACUGGAACUGAGACACGGUCCAGACUCCUACGGGAGGCAGCAGUGGGGAAUUUUGGACAAUGGGGGCAACCCUGAUCCAGCCAUGCCGCGUGAGUGAAGAAGGCCUUCGGGUUGUAAAGCUCUUUCGGCCGGGAAGAAAUCGCAUGGGCCAAUACCCUGUGUGGAUGACGGUACCGGAAUAAGAAGCACCGGCUAACUACGUGCCAGCAGCCGCGGUAAUACGUAGGGUGCGAGCGUUAAUCGGAAUUACUGGGCGUAAAGCGUGCGCAGGCGGUUUUGUAAGACAGGCGUGAAAUCCCCGGGCUCAACCUGGGAACUGCGUUUGUGACUGCAAGGCUAGAGUACGGCAGAGGGGGGUGGAAUUCCACGUGUAGCAGUGAAAUGCGUAGAGAUGUGGAGGAACACCAAUGGCGAAGGCAGCCCCCUGGGUCGAUACUGACGCUCAUGCACGAAAGCGUGGGUAGCAAACAGGAUUAGAUACCCUGGUAGUCCACGCCCUAAACUAUGUCAACUAGGUGUUGGGUGGGUAAAACCAUUUAGUACCGUAGCUAACGCGUGAAGUUGACCGCCUGGGGAGUACGGCCGCAAGGUUAAAACUCAAAGGAAUUGACGGGGACCCGCACAAGCGGUGGAUGAUGUGGAUUAAUUCGAUGCAACGCGAAAAACCUUACCUACCCUUGACAUGCCAGGAACUUGCCAGAGAUGGCUUGGUGCCCGAAAGGGAGCCUGGACACAGGUGCUGCAUGGCUGUCGUCAGCUCGUGUCGUGAGAUGUUGGGUUAAGUCCCGCAACGAGCGCAACCCUUGUCGUUAAUUGCCAUCAUUUAGUUGGGCACUUUAGCGAGACUGCCGGUGACAAACCGGAGGAAGGUGGGGAUGACGUCAAGUCCUCAUGGCCCUUAUGGGUAGGGCUUCACACGUCAUACAAUGGUCGGUACAGAGGGUCGCCAAGCCGCGAGGUGGAGCCAAUCCCAGAAAGCCGAUCGUAGUCCGGAUUGCAGGCUGCAACUCGCCUGCAUGAAGUCGGAAUCGCUAGUAAUCGUGGAUCAGCAUGUCACGGUGAAUACGUUCCCGGGUCUUGUACACACCGCCCGUCACACCAUGGGAGCGGGUUCCGCCAGAAGUAGGUAGCCUAACCGCAAGGAGGGCGCUUACCACGGCGGGGUUCGUGACUGGGGUGAAGUUGUAACAAGGUAGCCGUAGGGGAACCUGCGGCUG